AACGAACGCUGGCGGCAUGCCUAACACAUGCAAGUCGAACGAGCGCCUUCGGGUGCUAGCGGCGCACGGGUGCGUAACGCGUGGGAAUCUGCCCUUGGGUUCGGAAUAACAGCUAGAAAUGGCUGCUAAUACCGGAUGAUGACGUAAGUCCAAAGAUUUAUCGCCCAGGGAUGAGCCCGCGUAGGAUUAGCUAGUUGGUGGGGUAAAGGCCUACCAAGGCGACGAUCCUUAGCUGGUCUGAGAGGAUGAUCAGCCACACUGGGACUGAGACACGGCCCAGACUCCUACGGGAGGCAGCAGUGGGGAAUAUUGGACAAUGGGCGAAAGCUUGAUCCAGCAAUGCCGCGUGAGUGAUGAAGGCCUUAGGGUUGUAAAGCUCUUUUACCCGGGAUGAUAAUGACAGUACCGGGAGAAUAAGCCCCGGCUAACUCCGUACCAGCCGCCGCCGUAA
rnacentral:rRNA from 1 species